AUUGAACGCUGGCGGCAGGCCUAACACAUGCCAGUCGAGCGGAUGAAGGGAGCUUGCUCCUGGAUUCAGCGGCGGACGGGUGAGUAAUGCCUAGGAAUCUGCCUGGUAGUGGGGGAUAACGUCCGGAAACGGGCGCUAAUACCGCAUACGUCCUGAGGGAGAAAGUGGGGGAUCUUCGGACCUCACGCUAUCAGAUGAGCCUAGGUCGGAUUAGCUAGUUGGUGGGGUAAAGGCCUACCAAGGCGACGAUCCGUAACUGGUCUGAGAGGAUGAUCAGUCACCUGGGAACUGAGACACGGUCGACACUCCUGCGGGGGGCAGCAGUGGGAAAUCUUGGACGAUGGGCGAGAGCCUGAUCCAGCAAUGCCGCGGGUAGGAAGAAGGUCUUCGGAUGGGAAAGCACUUUAAGUUGGGGGGAAGGACAGUAAGUUCAUACCUUGCUAUAUUGACGUUACCAACAGAAGAAGCACCGGCUAACUUCGUG
rnacentral:rRNA from 1 species